GCGUCAAUACAAAUACGUGUGACUAAACCAUUUAUAGCGUAAGUUUAAUGAUAAAAGUUCUGAAUGCUGGUUCUCACAAAAGAUUGCAUUUUUGGGUCUCGCUAUACUUCAGAAGGAGUGGCUUCUACUACUUCACUACACGGGUGAUACAAAAUUGGCGCACAUUCGGAGCAUUGCACAACACCUGGCCCUUUUCCAGGCACUGUGUAAUUACCGAGGAAGGGAUACAUUUCUACCACGUAUAUAAGAUGCACACAGCACAAGGACACAUUAAUUGCGUGCAUUGAAUGGAUAACUGAACACCGUUACAAAUUGAGCAGGAGUUAAUUAAACAAAUACGAGAAACUGCUCCAGAAGAAUGCACAAUUAGGUUUUGAUGAUAAUAAAAGAACAAUUCCUCGUUGAUAAUAUUGACAUUUCGAAAAAGUAGGAUCCUAUAUUUGACGAAUCCUGUUGAGUUUGCCGUUCAUACUAACCUAUUCUAUUGUCACUUUGUGACAUAGAUUUUUUCCAUGGAUACAGAGGUUUUUAAUAAUUAGGAAGCAACAG
rnacentral:lncRNA from 1 species